rnacentral:rRNA from 1 species
CCUACGGGGGGCAGCAGUGAGGAAUAUUGGUCAAUGGACGAGAGUCUGAACCAGCCAAGUAGCGUGAAGGAUGACUGCCCUAUGGGUUGUAAACUUCUUUUAUAAAGGAAUAAAACGAGGCACGUGUGCCUUUUUGCAUGUACUUGAUGAAUAAGGAUCGGCUAACUCCGUGCCAGCAGCCGCGGUAAGACGGAGGAUCCGAGCGUUAUCCGGAUUUAGUGGGGGUAAAGGGAGCGUAGAUGGGUUGUUAAGUCAGUUGUGAUAGUUUGCGGCUCAACCGUAAAAUUGCAAUUGAUACUGGCAGUCUUGAGUACAGUUGAGGUAGGCGGAAUUCGUGGUGUAGCGGUGAAAUGCUUAGAUAUCACGAAGAACCCCGAUUGCGAAGGCAGCUUACUAAACUGUGACUGACAUUGCUGCUCGAAAGUGUGGGUAUCAAACAGGAUUAGAUACCCUUGUAGUC